ensembl:lncRNA
GUGAAAACAUUUAGGAAUGAGCUCUCUUAAAGGAAGAGUAGAAAGUUGUUAAAAAGCAGCCAAAUGGUGACUCUGAUUUGGCCCUUUCUAGGGACUGUUUUCAAAUAAAAUUUUUUUUUUAAUGAUAACUUAUUGAUUUGCUUCAAUGCUGUUCUAUUUUCUAGCUCAUUGAUAAGGAUGUUCCUCUUACUUUUGAUUAAGCUUUGCCGCAUAGGACUUUGAUCUUCAAGGACAGAAUUACAAAAAUAAACAACUAUUUUAUAUUCCAAAAUACAUUAUGACUGAUCCUUUUCCCAAGUAUAUAAGCAAAAGAUGGGAAACUUUUUCUGUAAAGGACCAGCAUUUGCAGGACAUAUGGUCUCUGUCACAAAUACUCAACUCGACUGUUGCAGAGUGGAAAAAUAGCCAUAGACAAUAUAGAGACGAAGGGCACCUUUUCAGUGGAGAAACCUGGCAGAUACCAAGGUCCUCUCCCCUGGGCCUUGCUGAGGUUCUGUGUGAAGCUGAGCUCGGCAUGAUCUCCCUGCUGCCAUGCGAGGUUCCCCACGCGCACCGGGAGCCCACGGUACCGCUGGGCUGUCCUUUCUGAGCACCUGGAGCAGACUGCAAUUAAUCAGGGUGCCAGCCUGUUCGCAAGCCUGCUAUCUAUAUUCCCUCCAGGACAGAGACUAAUCUUUCCUCAAAGAGCCAAGUAGGGACAUGAGCAUUUUCCUUCUCGUAAAUCUGCCAGAAAUUUCAGAACGAUCUAAAAGUGUUAAAGACUAUAUGCAGAAAGCAUGUAGAUCUGGAUUCUUCCCUUUGUCCACACUUGCAUUUCCUCGCUCCUCCUUCUCUGGCCAGCAUCCCCUUUCACACACUGUUGGACAUGACCACAACUGUGCAUUUCUUCUUGACAGCCAACUUAAGUCCUUCCUACAUUUUCAGGAUAGUGGGUGGAAGGUUUUUCUCAGGAGCGUUGUAUGGAAGCCAGCAAGGGACAAUUAUAUAGGGAGGUAACCUUCUAUUAUACUAGGGUUUUUGCGGUUACAGGCAGUCAAAGCCAGAUAGAAAUGUAAAGAAACGAGCCUAUGUUAACACAGCUGUGUACAAGGAUAUGCCCUAAAGGCCUGGGGUUUGGGAUGGAAAAGGUUUGGGAUGUUUCCUUUUCUCUUUCCAUUGACAACAAAAUCUGCUGUUUCCUUUUGAGAUUUUUGGGAAAGAGAUGGCAGAUGAUGAGGUUAGGACAUAGAUGUGUGAAUACUGCAGCUGUUAACCCCAAAGCACAAUUGAUUCACUGUUAUUGGUCUAAAAACAAAAUAGAAAUGAUCCAAACAUAGCUGAAUAUAGGCUACAAUCUAGUUUCUUCUUUUAUUACAGUCUUUGGCUAUCAAUGGUCCUUUUGCCUUUCCCUUAGGGAACAGGAAAGACAGAGACUGACAUGAAUCAGUGUAACAUUUAAACCACAGUGCUAGCUAGCAUGACUGUGAUAGCCAUCUCGACGUGAUGUCAUAAGUAGCUGGUGUUGCCAUGGCAACACUACAAUGGUAAACAAAGAUGUUUUCUGGAUGGCUAGAGUAAAGGUGGCUUUUAUGCUGUCUCACACCCUCCUGCCCCUGACCCCCUACCAUGGAUAGGAAAGAUUUUCUUUUCUUUUGCUAUGCAUUUUUCACCUUCAGAUGAAAUAAGCGAGGUGAGCCGCUAUUUUCUUCUUCUGUUUAUUUCUAUGUUCCACAAUUUUAUGAUGCUGGAAAUUUUGUUGAAACAACCACUCAAUUUAGAAAAUAUGAUAUUGCAUGUUGACUUCUAAAAUCCCCUGUUGUGUGGCAUUGCUAAGAAAGCAUGAGGGGAAAUUCUGUUAUGUGAAAUCUCAGGGCUAUGACAAGUUUGACAAGAUGAGCUUGAAUGACCUUACCUCAUGUGGUCACACAGCCAAGUCUACUAUCGAGGUUCUCAAAAGCAGAUAAGGCACAUGAGGAAUGGUUCUCUUGAGACAAAUGCUGAGCUGCUGUAGCUGGAGUAGAAAAAAUAAAUCUAGGACAUUUUAAAGCACUGUUUAACGAGUAAAAUAAUGCAAUGUGAAGAAUGAUGGAGGACAGGCAAACGUGGGGUUUUAUAAUUUUUCUGUAAGCUUUACAAUAAAGAUUACAAAUCAUUAAUGUUUUAUGAAAGCAAAUAUGUAUUUUAAAAUUCAACCAGGAAAGGAAGAUGGAAGGAAAUAUAAUGUGCCCCAAAAAAGCAUUCAUUAAACUGUUUAUUGGUGAA